GAUGAACGCUGGCGGCGUGCCUAAUACAUGCAAGUCGAGCGAACGGACGCGAAGCUUGCUUCUCUGAUGUUAGCGGCGGCCGGGUGAGUAACACGUGGAUAACCUACCUAUAAGACUGGGAUAACUUCGGGAAACCGGAGCUAAUACCGGAUAAUAUUUUGAACCGCAUGGUUCAAAAGUGAAAGACGGUCUUGCUGUCACUUAUAGAUGGAUCCGCGCUGCAUUAGCUAGUUGGUAAGGUAACGGCUUACCAAGGCAACGAUGCAUAGCCGACCUGAGAGGGUGAUCGGCCACACUGGAACUGAGACACGGUCCAGACUCCUACGGGAGGCAGCAGUAGGGAAUCUUCCGCAAUGGGCGAAAGCCUGACGGAGCAACGCCGCGUGAGUGAUGAAGGUCUUCGGAUCGUAAAACUCUGUUAUUAGGGAAGAACAUAUGUGUAAGUAACUGUGCACAUCUUGACGGUACCUAAUCAGAAAGCCACGGCUAACUACGUG
rnacentral:rRNA from 1 species